AAGUCGGGAAGGGAUAAACGCUGAAAGCAUCUAAGCGUGAAGCCCACCUCAAGAUGAGAUUUCCCAUAGCAUAAGCUAGUAAGACCCCUUGAAGAACACAAGGUUGAUAGGUCAGAGGUGUAAGCAUGGUAACAUGUUCAGCUGACUGAUACUAAUAGGUCGAGGGCUUGACCAA
rnacentral:rRNA from 1 species